UUUUUUUUUUUUUUUUUUAACAAAAACAACAAAAAAAAUGCUACUAGUUACACAGUAGGGUUCCUCAGAAAGCAGGGGGAAUGCCUCUUGUUUCAAGUUUUUCUUGUUUAGGGGCUUACGUAAAAGCUAAGCUAACUGCUGGUGGGCUGAUAGUGUGACAAAACUUACUACUUUGUUGAUUUAAAGCAAUCCUUGGUAUUUUAGUGUGUAAGUACUUGAAAGCAUGACUGUAAUUAUCUUAGAAGCAUACAUUGUCAUGGGAUAUUGGGUCAUGUGGACAUUGUGUUUCUGUAGGAGUUUGUCCUUGCAGAUACCAUAAGCUACUUUCCUUAACCAUUAACAUCUUAUGACCUUGACUUGUGCAGUAAGGAGUAUGUCUUCCUAGUUUUAAAGGACUUGAGCUUUGACAUCCUGGCUCUCCUAGGUUCCUGCUUAACAGUUUAUCCACUCGUACACCACAGAGUCUAAGCACCAUUGUGGAAGACACCACUCCGGUAAUAUAUCAAAGACAGACUGAGCACCUACUCCAAUAACAUAAAUAGUAAUAGCAAUGCUAUGGGAAAUAUUAAGAAGUUAAAUGUAUGUAUACAAUUGAUCAUUUAUUAUUUUCAGUUUUAUAUUGGCUAAAACUACAUAGGAUGGUUAAUCGAAUAUUAGAAAUGUCUUUCAAAAAUGCGAUCUAAUAUAAACACACAUAGUUUGAGAAGACCAUUUCCUCUAUGUUCAAUAUAUAUGGAGUUCAGAUUUAUGAACUUAUUUUAUGCUUUUCAUUAGAUCGUUUGUUUUCUAUCUUGAUUUCUUCUGUGUUCAUGAGCUUGUGAACCAAAAGUAUCUAAUAGGUCUCAAUUUAGAAAGUUUACUUUGCCAAGGUUAAUGAUGUGCUUUGCAGCCGAUGUGGUCCAGAUGUAGCUGGGUGAUAUAUCUUCUGCUGUGGCCUCAAGCAGACAGAGAGCAGGGAGACAAGGAACCAAGUUCUUGGUGCCUCUUGUGUUAAGGGCAUGCAUCCAUUCCUGAGGGUUCCCUUCUGUGAUCUAAUCACCUCCCGCAGUCUUCAACUCCUAAUCCCAUCACAUUGAGGGUUAGAAUUUCAACAUAUAUGUUCUGGGAUGGACACAUUCAUUCCACAACACUGUCCAUUAUAUAUCUCUCUCUCUUUUUUCUUUUUUAGAAGGAGUUUCACUCUUGUUUCCCAGACUGGAGUGCCAUGGCGUGAUCUUGGCUCACUGCAACCUCUGCCUCCUGGG
rnacentral:lncRNA from 1 species